rnacentral:tRNA from 1 species
GGGGGUGUAGCUCAUUUGGGAGAGCGUGUGACUGGCAGUCACAAGGUAAGGGGUUCGAUCCCCCUCAUCUCCACCA